GCGGAGGAAGAACCAACAGGGAUUGCCCUAGUAACGGCGAGUGAAGCGGCAACAGCUCAAAUUUGAAAUCUGGCGCAAGCCCGAGUUGUAAUUUGUAGAGGAUGCUUCUGGGCAGCGGCCGGUCUAAGUUCCUUGGAACAGGACGUCACAGAGGGUGAGAAUCCCGUAUGUGAUCGGUUGGCACCCGCUACGUAGCUCCUUCGACGAGUCGAGUUGUUUGGGAAUGCAGCUCUAAAUGGGAGGUAAAUGCCUUCUAAAGCUAAAUACCGGCCAGAGACCGAUAGCGCACAAGUAGAGUGAUCGAAAGAUGAAAAGCACUUUGGAAAGAGAGUUAAAAAGCACGUGAAAUUGUUGAAAGGGAAGCGCAUGCAACCAGACUUGUCCGCGGUGUUCCGCCGGUCUUCUGACCGGUCUACUCGCCGCGGGCAGGCCAGCAUCAUCUGGGAGCGCCGGAUAAAGGUAGCGGGAAUGUGGCCCCUCGGGGUGUUAUAGCUCGCUACACAAUACGGCGCCUCCCGGGUGAGGUCCGCGCUUCGGCUAGGAUGCUGGCGUAAUGGUUGUAUGCGGCCCGUCUUGAAACACGGACCAAGGAGUCUACCAUCUAUGCGAGUGUUCGGGUGUCAAACCCCUACGCGCAAUGAAAGUGAACGGAGGUGGGAACCGCAAGGUGCACCAUCGACCGAUCCUGAUGUCUUCGGAUGGAUUUGAGUAAGAGCAUAGCUGGUGGGACCCGAAAGAUGGUGAACUAUGCCUGAAUAGGGUGAAGCCAGAGGAAACUCUGGUGGAGGCUCGCAGCGGUUCUGACGUGCAAAUCGAUCGUCAAAUUUGGGUAUAGGGGCGAAAGACUAAUCGAACCAUCUAGUAGCUGGUUCCUGCCGAAGUYCCCUCAGGA
rnacentral:rRNA from 1 species